GGCGGACGGGUUAGUAACGCGUGGGAACGUACCCAGAUCUAAGGAAUAGCCACUGGAAACGGUGAGUAAUACCUUAUACGCCCUUCGGGGGAAGGAUUUAUCGGAUUUGGAUCGGCCCGCGUUAGAUUAGGUAGUUGGUGGGGUAAUGGCCUACCAAGCCUACGAUCUAUAGCUGGUUUUAGAGGAUGAUCAGCAACACUGGGACUGAGACACGGCCCAGACUCCUACGGGAGGCAGCAGUGGGGAAUCUUAGACAAUGGGCGCAAGCCUGAUCUAGCCAUGCCGCGUGAGUGAUGAAGGCCUUAGGGUCGUAAAGCUCUUUCGCCUGUGAUGAUAAUGACAGUAGCAGGUAAAGAAACCCCGGCUAACUCCGUGCCAGCAGCCGCGGUAAUACGGAGGGGGUUAGCGUUGUUCGGAAUUACUGGGCGUAAAGCGCAC
rnacentral:rRNA from 1 species